rnacentral:rRNA from 1 species
UGAGUACGAGCUGCUACGGCAGCGAAGUGGGUAACGUCAAGCUUCCAAGAAAAGCCCUACACCCGUUAAGGCAUGAUGGCCUGUACCCGAAACCGACACAGGUAGGAUGGUAGAGAAUACCGAGGGGCGCGAGGUAACUCUCUCUAAGGAACUCGGCAAAAUGGCCCCGUAACUUCGGGAGAAGGGGUGCCACCGCAAGGUGGUCGCAGUGAAGAGGCCCAGGCGACUGUUUACCAAAAACACAGGUCUCCGCUAAGUCGCAAGACGAUGUAUGGGGGCUGACGCCUGCCCAGUGCCGGAAGGUUAAGGAAGCUGGUCAGCGCAAGCGAAGCUGGCGACUGAAGCCCCGGUGAACGGCGGCCGUAACUAUAACGGUCCUAAGGUAGCGAAAUUCCUUGUCGGGUAAGUUCCGACCCGCACGAAAGGCGUAACGAUCUGGGCGCUGUCUCGGAGAGAGGCUCGGCGAAAUAGAAUUGUCUGUGAAGAUGCGGACUACGUGCACCCGGACAGAAAGACCCUAUGAAGCUUUACUGUAGCUUGGUAUUGUGCCCGGGCUCUGAAUGCGCAGGAUAGGUGGGAGGCUUUGAUCAACAGCUUGCGGGUUGUUGUGAGCCAACGGUGAGAUACCACUCUUUCAGAGCUAGGGUUCUAACGGUCACCCGUUAUCCGGGGACCGGACAGUAUCAGGUGGGCAGUUUGACUGGGGCGGUCGCCUCCUAAAAGGUAACGGAGGCGCGCAAAGGUUUGCUCAGGCUGGUUGGAAAUCAGCCGACGAGUGUAAAAGCAGAAGCAAGCUUGACUGUGAGACCUACAAGUCGAACAGGGACGAAAGUCGGCUUUAGUGAUCCGACGGUUCUGAGUGGAAGGGCCGUCGCUCAACGGAUAAAAGUUACUCUAAGGAUAACAGGCUGAUCUCCCCCAAGAGUUCACAUCGACGGGGAGGUUUGGCACCUCGAUGUCGGCUCAUCGCAACCUGGGGCUGAAGUCGGCCCCAAGGGUUGGGCUGUUCGCCCAUUAAAGCGGUACGCGAGCUGGGUUCAGAACGUCGUGAGACAGUUCGGUCCAUAUCCGGUGCAUGCGCAGGAAUAUUGAGAGGAGUUCUCCCUAGUACGAGAGGACCGGGAGGAACGCACCUCUGGUGUACCAGUUAUCGUGCCAACGGUAAACGCUGGGUAGCCAUGUGCGGAGAGGAUAACCGCUGAAAGCAUCUAAGUGGGAAGCCCACCUCAAGAUGAGUAUUCCCAUGGCAUAAGCCAGUAAGGUCACGGGAAGAACACCCGUUGAUAGGCUCUACGUGGAAGCGCAGUAAUGCGUGAAGCGGAGGAGUACUAAUAGACCGAGGGCUUGACC